rnacentral:rRNA from 1 species
GAUGCGGAUCUCGAAAGCCUGUCCCAGUUCGGACUGGAGUCUGCAACCCGACUCCACGAAGUUGGAUUCGCUAGUAAUCGCGCAUCAGCCAUGGCGCGGUGAAUACGUUCCCGGGCCUUGUACACACCGCCCGUCACACCAUGGGAGUCGGAAAUGCCCGAAGUCUGUGACCCAACCUUAGGGAGGGAGCAGCCGAAGGCAGGUCGGAUGACUGGGGUGAAGUCGUAACAAGGUAUC